rnacentral:tRNA from 1 species
GCUUCCUUAGCUCAGUUGGUAGAGCAACUGACUCUUAAUCAGUGGGUCGCGGGUUCGAGUCCCGCAGGGAGCA